rnacentral:lncRNA from 1 species
GGAGUGGGCGGGGCGGGGAAGGGGUGGGAAGAGCUCGCAGCACCGCCGGGCGCCCGUCGGGCUCUGGGAGAGAGAGAGAAAUCCGGUUAAAAUCAGAGUCGGAGGGAGGUUUAACCACAGAUCGGUUCCGAUCGGAUUAUUCCUUAAAGGGGACGCGCCAUUGUCAAGAGAACGGAGCCUGGGGCCCGAGGGCGGGGACCGGCGGCGCCUGAGGAGCGAGGCAGCUGCACUUGGACUGGGGACGGGUAGACUGGAGGUCAGGAGAGGCAGUCUGUGGGAUCCUGCAUACUUCACAUAAAUGCCACGAGACUGAAGCAGCCUGACGCAGGAUCAAGAGAAGCUGCUGGUAUCAAUCUCACAUACUGAAUAUUAGUAAAGCUCAAAUUUCAAGUUUAAGAUAGCUUCUUUUCCUGUUAAAAAAUUGCUGAGAUUUUUUUGAUAACCUUUGACAUUCCAUAUUCUGCUUUGUACAUGGUGAAUGCCUACUGCUGUGCACCAGUGUGCCCACUUGUGUGCCUAUAAAGUACAAGCUCCCGAUUGAAAAAGCUUCUAGAUGGAUCCUUUCCAAAUUUGGUGUCUUUUCUACAAACUCUGUGCCUCAACAACCGUUUCUAAGUGGUAAGAGUAUGUACCUUUUUUUUUAAGAAUAAUAGAAAUUUGUAACACAAUUUUUGUUUAGAUUGCCUUCCCCUUUUUUGUGUCUUCUUCUCUUUUUACAUAUGAGUGAUAUCUGCACUUUUUUUUUUGGUUAAUAUUUUAAAAAUCUCUUCUAAAAAUAGCAGUAACAUCAGGUUUGUGGAAGCUUCAAAAUGUUCUUUCCAUAUUAUAUUCUGGGUGGAGUAUAAUACGUAAUAUUUAUAGAGAAUAAAUAUAGCAAUGUAUAAACAUCUUUAUGUGUGUGUACUUUGUGUACUCUAUAAUCCGUUAUUGUAAGGCUGAGGUAGUUUAUCCUGUUUUUUCCUGUCUAUUUAGGUAUUUGGAGUCCCCUGGGUCCAGAACAUCUUCUUACUUCAUAGCAAUUGUAAAUUAUGUAUGCAUUUAUGGAAAUGAUGAGAGAAGUGUAUAAUGCCAGCUCUUCUUUUUAUAGCAUGGCACUAUGUGUGCCUUUUCAUGUUCUAACAUUUUUUGGAAGCGUAGGUGCUAGUUAGCCAACACAUUUUCUGAACAUCUCUGAGAUUUACUCAGAACAUAUUUUGGGGAGGGGACCGAGGGAGACAGAAGAGUAAAAUUGAGCGGAACAAGUUGCUGCUAUAGGAGACCUUUAAAAUAAAAUUACUGAAGUAGGCUCAUUUUGAGUGCCAGUCAACAAAUAUUUACCAAAUGCUUGCUAUUUAUGAGUGAAAAUAUAUAAUGACAUUUAGCAUUGAAAAGAAGUGAGUCACGAGAUGGAAACCAAGGUGUUAGAUGAGAGUGCGAGGCAGGGAGGUUGGGGGAAGAAUGGGGUACACUUUAACUUGAGUUCUGUUCAUUAACUGCGUAAUGUUCUUGGGUGCAAGUUAAUUAGCCUUGGUGCACCUUGGUUUUCUCUAUGAAAUGAGUGAAUUAAACUAAAUGAUUUAUAAGGUUUUUUUGGUGCUUUCAUACACCCAGCACUUUAUGAUUGUAAUGAACAAAUUGAUUUUUGUUUUUUUGAGGAUACCUUUUCUUCCCUAAUCUAUCCGAUAGAGAUAUUUUUAGACUAUUUUCUUUGAGUUAUGGGGUUAGAAUAACGUCCUCACUAUUAGAACAUUUUUCAAUUAAUUGUUUUCUUUUGAAGUUGAUGUCUUUUAUUCUUUUCUCUCUACAUUUUUAUCCUCUGUUGACCUCUAGAAUUUUUCUUCAUUUGAUUCACAUGUUCCCCUUCUGUCUCUUAUAUUAGUGGCUCUCAUCAUGCUUCCUUGACCUGACUGACAUCCAUCAUUUUCACCUUAGUCAUUUUCCAGGGUUACUAAAUUGUAAACUAGUGGUUCCAAUCCUGGGACCCUUUUAAAAAAUACGGAUAUCUUCUGAAAUGAUCCUGGGACAGAGGUGUGAUUCUUGGCAGGUAGCCAGAAGCAGUUAGUAAACCAGCAUUAGUUUAGCAGGACUGGAGCCCCAAACUUCUGUGCACUUUUCAUACCCCAUCACUUCUCAUCAUCACCUGGAACACUUCCACUUCUGAGGUCUUGAAAAGUUCCCUCUCAUGAUCAUAACCCUCUAUCAUGUCACGCUUUCUGAGUCUGUUCUUUGUCUUUGUUAUGACUUGUACUUUCUUGGCAUUUCCAUG